CAGCAGCCACGGGAAUACGGAGGGUGCAAGCGUUAAUCGGAAUUACUGGGCGUAAAGCGCACGCAGGCGGUCUGUCAAGUCAGAUGUGAAAUCCCCGGGCUUAACCUGGGAACUGCAUUUGAAACUGGCAGGCUAGAGUCUUGUAGAGGGGGGUAGAAUUCCAGGUGUAGCGGUGAAAUGCGUAGAGAUCUGGAGGAAUACCGAUGGCGAAGGCAAUCCCCUGGGCCUGCACUGACGCUCAUGCACGAAAGCGUGGGGAGCAAACAGGAUUAGAUACCCGAGUAGUCCCUGUCUCUUAUAC
rnacentral:rRNA from 1 species